GACGAACGCUGGCGGCGUGCCUAAUACAUGCAAGUAGAACGCACAGUUUAUACCGUAGCUUGCUACACCAUAAACUGUGAGUUGCGAACGGGUGAGUAACGCGUAGGUAACCUGCCUGGUAGCGGGGGAUAACUAUUGGAAACGAUAGCUAAUACCGCAUAAUAUUGAUUAUUGCAUGAUAAUUGAUUGAAAGAUGCUAUUGCAUCACUACCAGAUGGACCUGCGUUGUAUUAGCUAGUAGGUGAGGUAACGGCUCACCUAGGCGACGAUACAUAGCCGACCUGAGAGGGUGAUCGGCCACACUGGGACUGAGACACGGCCCAGACUCCUACGGGAGGCAGCAGUAGGGAAUCUUCGGCAAUGGACGAAAGUCGGACCGAGCAACGCCGCGUGAGUGAAGAAGGUUUUCGGAUCGUAAAGCUCUGUUGUAAGAGAAGAACGGGUGUGAGAGUGGAAAGUUCACACUGUGACGGUACCUUACCAGAAAGGGACGGCUAACUACGUG
rnacentral:rRNA from 1 species